GAUGAAGAACGUAGCGAAAUGCGAUAAGUAAUGUGAAUUGCAGAAUUCAGUGAAUCAUCGAAUCUUUGAACGCACAUUGCGCCCAGUGGUAUUCCGCUGGGCAUGCCUGUUCGAGCGUCAUUUCAACCCUCAAGCCCAGCUUGGUAUUGGGUGUCACCUGUGCAUGGUGCACCUCAAAAUCAGUGGCAGUGCCAUCUGGCUUCGAGCGCAGUAAUACUUCUCGCUCUGGAGGUCCAGGGGGAUGCUAGCCAAAAGCCCUAUAUUCUCAAGGUUGACCUCGGAUCAGGUAGGGAUACCCGCUGAACUUAAGCAUAUCCAAUAAGCGGAGGA
rnacentral:misc_RNA from 1 species